rnacentral:rRNA from 1 species
UAAUACGAAGGUGGCGAGCGUUGUUCGGAUUCACUGGGCAUAAAGGGCGCGUAGGCGGUUCCGCAAGCAGUACGUGAAAUCCCACGGCUCAACCGUGGAAUUGCGUUCUGGACUGCGGUUCUAGAGUGCGGGAGGGGGGUGCGGAACUCUAGGUGUAGCGGUGAAAUGCGUAGAUAUCUAGAGGAACACCGGUGGCGAAAGCGACACCCUGGCCCGCAACUGACGCUGAGGCGCGAAAGCGUGGGUAGCAAACAGGAUUAGAUACCCUGGUAGUCCACGCCGUAAACGAUGAGCACUAGGUAGCCGUCGGAACCGACCGGUGGCUGCUGAAGGAAAUCCAUUAAGUGCUCCGCCUGGGGAGUAUGGUCGCAAGGCUG